AGAGUUUGAUCCUGGCUCAGAUUGAACGCUGGCGGCAGGCUUAACACAUGCAAGUCGAGCGGUAACAGAGAUAGCUUGCUAUCUGCUGACGAGCGGCGGACGGGUGAGUAAUGCUUGGGAAUAUGCCUUAUGGUGGGGGACAACAGUUGGAAACGACUGCUAAUACCGCAUAACGUCUACGGACCAAAGGGGGGGAUCUUCGGACCUCUCGCCAUUUGAUUAGCCCAAGUGAGAUUAGCUAGUUGGUGAGGUAAUGGCUCACCAAGGCGACGAUCUCUAGCUGGUUUGAGAGGAUGAUCAGCCACACUGGGACUGAGACACGGCCCAGACUCCUACGGGAGGCAGCAGUGGGGAAUAUUGCACAAUGGGCGAAAGCCUGAUGCAGCCAUGCCGCGUGUGUGAAGAAGGCCUUCGGGUUGUAAAGCACUUUCAGUUGUGAGGAAAGGGGUGUAGUUAAUAACUGCAUUCUGUGACGUAACAACAGAAGAAGCACCGCUAACUU
rnacentral:rRNA from 1 species